AUUGAACGCUGGCGGCAGGCUUAACACAUGCAAGUCGAGCGGUAGCACAGGGGAGCUUGCUCCCUGGGUGACGAGCGGCGGACGGGUGAGUAAUGUCUGGGAAACUGCCUGAUGGAGGGGGAUAACUACUGGAAACGGUAGCUAAUACCGCAUAACGUCGCAAGACCAAAGAGGGGGACCUUCGGGCCUCUUGCCAUCAGAUGUGCCCAGAUGGGAUUAGCUAGUAGGUGAGGUAAUGGCUCACCUAGGCGACGAUCCCUAGCUGGUCUGAGAGGAUGACCAGCCACACUGGAACUGAGACACGGUCCAGACUCCUACGGGAGGCAGCAGUGGGGAAUAUUGCACAAUGGGCGCAAGCCUGAUGCAGCCAUGCCGCGUGUGUGAAGAAGGCCUUCGGGUUGUAAAGCACUUUCAGCGAGGAGGAAGGUGGUGAGCUUAAUACGUUCAUCAAUUGACGUUACUCGCAGAAGAAGCACCGGCUAACUCCGUG
rnacentral:rRNA from 1 species